rnacentral:rRNA from 1 species
GACCUGAUGCAGCCAUGCCGCGUGUGUGAAGAAGGCCUUCGGGUUGUAAAGCACUUUCAGUUGUGAGGAAAAGUUAGUAGUUAAUACCUGCUAGCCGUGACGUUAACAACAGAAGAAGCACCGGCUAACUCCGUGCCAGCAGCCGCGGUAAUACGGAGGGUGCGAGCGUUAAUCGGAAUUACUGGGCGUAAAGCGCACGCAGGCGGUUUGUUAAGCUAGAUGUGAAAGCCCCGGGCUCAACCUGGGAUGGUCAUUUAGAACUGGCAGACUAGAGUCUUGGAGAGGGGAGUGGAAUUCCAGGUGUAGCGGUGAAAUGCGUAGAUAUCUGGAGGAACAUCAGUGGCGAAGGCGACUCCCUGGCCAAAGACUGACGCUCAUGUGCGAAAGUGUGGGUAGCGAACAGGAUUAGAUACCCUGGUAGUCCACACCGUAAACGCUGUCUACUAGCUGUGUGUGCCUUUAAGGCGUGCGUAGCGAAGCUAACGCGCUAAGUAGACCGCCUGGGGAGUACGGCCGCAAGGUUAAAACUCAAAUG